GCCGCGUUCGUCUAGAGGCCUAGGACGCCGCCCUUUCACGGCGGUAGCACGGGUUCGAAUCCCGUACGCGGUA
rnacentral:tRNA from 6 species